GCACUGUAUCUGAACUCGUGGAGCCCCUUCAUGGCUCAUCGGGUCAAGCAACGGUGCAACAGUAAACGCUUCUUAUAACUGGAGUGUCUUGGUUUCCCCCCCAAGUUGCUCUUUUAAAAGCAAGCAACACAA